rnacentral:rRNA from 1 species
UAGAGUUUGGAUCCUGGCUCAGGACGGAACGCUGGCGGCGUGCCUAAUACAUGCAAGUCGAGCGGACAGAAGGGAGCUUGCUCCCGGAUGUUAGCGGCGGACGGGUGAGUAACACGUGGGUAACCUGCCUGUAAGACUGGGAUAACUCCGGGAAACCGGAGCUAAUACCGGAUAGUUCCUUGAACCGCAUGGUUCAAGGAUGAAAGACGGUUUCGGCUGUCACUUACAGAUGGACCCGCGGCGCAUUAGCUAGUUGGUGAGGUAACGGCUCACCAAGGCGACGAUGCGUAGCCGACCUGAGAGGGUGAUCGGCCACACUGGGACUGAGACACGGCCCAGACUCCUACGGGAGGCAGCAGUAGGGAAUCUUCCGCAAUGGACGAAAGUCUGACGGAGCAACGCCGCGUGAGUGAUGAAGGUUUUCGGAUCGUAAAGCUCUGUUGUUAGGGAAGAACAAGUGCAAGAGUAACUGCUUGCACCUUGACGGUACCUAACCAGAAAGCCACGGCUAACUACGUGCCAGCAGCCGCGGUAAUACGUAGGUGGCAAGCGUUGUCCGGAAUUAUUGGGCGUAAAGGGCUCGCAGGCGGUUUCUUAAGUCUGAUGUGAAAGCCCCCGGCUCAACCGGGGAGGGUCAUUGGAAACUGGGAAACUUGAGUGCAGAAGAGGAGAGUGGAAUUCCACGUGUAGCGGUGAAAUGCGUAGAGAUGUGGAGGAACACCAGUGGCGAAGGCGACUCUCUGGUCUGUAACUGACGCUGAGGAGCGAAAGCGUGGGGAGCGAACAGGAUUAGAUACCCUGGUAGUCCACGCCGUAAACGAUGAGUGCUAAGUGUUAGGGGGUUUCCGCCCCUUAAGUGCUGCAG